rnacentral:lncRNA from 1 species
CCCAGAUACUCACUGGUAGCAGUUGUUGUUGAACUUGUUGUAGCUAGCAAAAGCCAGCAGGACCCCAAAGCCCGGACCAAGAGAGAAGAAGAUCUGAGCGGCUGCAUCUAUCCACACCUGGAACACAGCAGGGGUAUGCUGAAGUAGAUAACAGUGAAGAUCAGCAUGAUGCAGAGGGCCAGCUGCCAGCUGAUGCCCCCCAGGUCCUGGAGCCCCUUAGACCGGUGGAUCUGCAGGACGUGGCGCCUGGGGUGAA